AGGGCACCACCAGGAGUGGAGCCUGCGGCUUAAUUUGACUCAACACGGGAAAACUUACCCGGCCCGGACACUGAAAGGAUUGACAGAUUGAUAGCUUUUUCUUGAUUCGGUGGAUGGUGGUGCAUGGCCGUUCUUAGUUGGUGGAGCGAUCUGUCUGGUUAAUUCCGAUAACGAACGAGACUCUAGCCUAUUAAAUAGCCGUAAUGCUCGAUGCGCAUUACGGGUUCCUUCUUAAAGGGACAAGGUGUUUUGAGCACCACAAAACAGAGCAAUAACAGGUCUUUGAUGCCCUUAGAUGUCCGGGGCCGCACGCGCGCUACAAUGAAGAAACGAGCGUGUAGUUUUCCUUGUCUGAAAAGACUGGGUAACCCCUUUAAUCUUCUUCAUGAUUGGGAUUGGGGCUUGCAAUUGUUCCCCUUGAACGAGGAAUUCCCAGUAAGCGCUAGUCAUCAGCUAGUGCUGAUUACUUCCCUGCCCUUUGUACACACCGCCCGUCGCUACUACCGAUUGAAUGGUUUA
rnacentral:rRNA from 1 species